rnacentral:lncRNA from 1 species
GCUUUAUUAACUAUAGAAAAUGAAAUUGAAUUUUAUGAAUAUAAACUUGAAAGUUAUCAACACAGAAAAGAAAUAACACUGAGAAAUAUAGAAACCAUGGAUAUAUGUAUCAACAGGUAUACAUCUCAGUAUUAAUAUGAACAAAUCAAAAAUUGAUAGUUACAAAUAUUUUAAGUACUGGUUAGAAAUUCUAAAACAUAUAAAUAUGUCAAAAAUAAUAUUAGAAAAAAAUAUAGAAGAAUAUCAAAAAACUAAAGAUAUUAAAUACUUAGAAUACAAACUUGAAAAUAUAAAAGAAAUUUCAAGGUUAAUUUCGUUAGCUACAGAUAAUCAUGAAAAAGUAUUUAAUUCCACAACUACAUAAAAAAGAUCCUAUGAAAAAUAUGAAAAAUAAGAUGAACUCAAACAACCACCCCCAAAUAUUAAAUACUUAGAAUAAUAAAUUAUUAGAUACAAUAAUUUAUUAACUAUAGAAUACUAAAGAUAUUAAAUACUUAGAAUACACACUUGAAAAUAUAAAAGAAAUUUAAAGGUUAAUUUCGUUAGCUACAGAUAAUCAUGAAAAAGCAUUUAAUUCCACAACUACAUAAAAAAGAUCCUAUGAAAAAUAUGAAAAAUAAGAUGAACUCAAACAACCACCCUUGUUCUCCAGGUGGGUGCCUGAUUGCCCAAACUUGAACUGUAUUCCCUUGUUCUCUAGGUGGGCGCCUGAUUACCAAAACUUGAACUGAAUUCCCUUGUUUUCCAGGUGGGCGCCUGAAUGCCAAAACUACAACUAUAUUCCCUUGUUCUCCAGGUGGGCGUGUGAUUGCCAAAACUUUAACUGUAUUCCCUUGUUCUCCAGGUGGGCGCCUGAUUGCCAAAACUUUAAUUGUAUUCUCUUGUUCUCCAGGUGGGCGUCUGAUUGCCCAAACUUGAACUGUAUUCCCUUGUUCUCCAGGUGGGCACCUGAUUGCCAAAACUUGAACUGUAUUCCCUUGUUCUCCAGUUGGGUGCCUAAUUGCAAAAAACUGAACUGUAUUCCCUUGUUCUCCAGGUGGGCGCCUGAUUGCCGAAACUUGAACUGUAUUCCCUUGUUUUAUAGGUGGGCUCCUGAUUGACAAAACUUGAACUGUAUUCCCUGUUUCUCUAAGUGGGCGCCCAAUUGCGAAAACUUGAAUUAUAUUCCCUUGUUCUCCAGGUGGGCGCCUGGUUGCCAAAACUUGAACUGUUAUGCCCUUGUUCUCCAGGUGGGCGCUUGAUUGCCAAAACUUUAACUGUAUUCCCUUGUUCUCCAGGUAGGCGCCUGAUUGACAAAACUUGAACUGUAUUCCCUUGUUCUCCAGGUGGGCGCCUGAUUGCCAAAACUUGAAUUGUAUGCCCUUGUUUUCCAGGUGGGCGCCUGAUUGCCCAAACUUUAACAGUAUUCCCUUGCUCUCCAGGUGGGUGCCUGAUUGGCUA